AGAGUUUGAUUCUGGCUCAGAUUGAACGCUGGCGGCGUGCCUAACACAUGCAAGUCGUACGUGAAAGGGUCUUCGGAUCCGAGUAAAGUGGCGCACGGGUGAGUAACACGUGGAUAAUCUACCGGGAAGUGAGGAAUAACAGCUGGAAACGGCUGCUAAUACCGCAUACGCUUCAUAUUUAUCUAUGAAGGAAAGGGGGCCUCUGCAUAUGCUUCCGCUUUUCGAUGAGUCCGCGUCCCAUUAGCUAGUUGGUGAGGUAACGGCCCACCAAGGCGACGAUGGGUAGCUGGUCUAAGAGGAUGAUCAGCCACAUUGGAACUGGAACACGGUCCAAACUCCUACGGGAGGCAGCAGUGGGGAAUAUUGCGCAAUGGGCGAAAGCCUGACGCAGCGACGCCGCGUGAGGGAUGAAGGUCUUCGGAUCGUAAACCUCUGUCAGAAGGGAAGAAUAAGCACUGUGCUAAUCAGCAGUGCCCUGACGGUACCUUCAAAGGAAGCACCGGCUAACUCCGUGCCAGCAGCCGCGGUAAUACGGAGGGUGCAAGCGUUAAUCGGAAUUACUGGGCGUAAAGCGCGUGUAGGCUGUAUGGCAAGUUGGAGGUGAAAUCCCACGGCUCAACCGUGGAACUGCCUUCAAAACUACCAAACUGGAGUGCGAGAGAGGAUAGCGGAAUUCCAGGUGUAGGAGUGAAAUCCGUAGAUAUCUGGAAGAACAUCAGUGGCGAAGGCGGCUAUCUGGCUCGUAACUGACGCUGAGAUGCGAAAGCGUGGGUAGCAAACAGGAUUAGAUACCCUGGUAGUCCACGCUGUAAACGAUGAUUACUAGGUGUGGGGGGUCUGACCCCUUCCGUGCCGGAGUUAACACAAUAAGUAAUCCACCUGGGGAGUACGG
rnacentral:rRNA from 1 species